rnacentral:rRNA from 1 species
GAUGAACGCUGGCGGCGUGCCUAAUACAUGCAAGUCGAGCGAACAGACGAGGAGCUUGCUCCUCUGACGUUAGCGGUGGACGGGUGAGUAACACGUGGAUAACCUACCUAUAAGACUGGGAUAACUUCGGGAAACCGGAGCUAAUACCGGAUAAUAUAUUGAACCGCAUGGUUCAAUAGUGAAAGACGGUUUUGCUGUCACUUAUUGAUGGAUCCGCGCCGCAUUAGCUAGUUGGUAAGGUAACGGCUUACCAAGGCAACGAUGCGUAGCCGACCUGAGAGGGUGAUCGGCCACACUGGAACUGAGACACGGUCCAGACUCCUACGGGAGGCAGCAGUAGGGAAUCUUCCGCAAAGGGCGAAAGCCUGACGGAGCAACGCCGCGUGAGUGAUGAAGGUCUUCGGAUCGUAAAACUCUGUUAUUAGGGAAGAACAAAUGUGUAAGUAACUAUGCACGUCUUGACGGUACCUAAUCAGAAAGCCACGGCUAACUACGUG